rnacentral:lncRNA from 1 species
UCUACUUUUAGUACCUCCCAACUAUUCUUGAUGAAGUUGAAGUUGAAGCCAUCAAGUCCAGGACUCUUUGAACCUUCACACUGCCACACUGCAUCCCUUAUUUCUUUCUCAGUGAACUUUGCUACCAAACUUAGAUUGUCUUCCUGGGAUAAAGAUUUAAACUCUACCGCAUCCAGUCUUACACCAAAGUCUCUGCUAGCUUUAAAUCUAUUUUCAAAUAGCUUUUUUGCCUCAGCACGAACUGUGCAAGGUUCCUCACACCAUUGACCCCCCACCUCUACACCUUUAACUUCAUUUUUGAGGCGCCUCCAUCUCAAAGAUGAGUGAUAGAAU